CACGGGGGGAGCAAGCGUUGUUCGGAAUUACUGGGCGUAAAGGGCGCGUAGGCGGCCUACUAAGUCAGACGUGAAAUCCCCCGGCUUAACCUGGGAACUGCGUCUGAUACUGGAAGGCUUGAGUAUGGGAGAGGGAUGUAGAAUUCCAGGUGUAGCGGUGAAAUGCGUAGAUAUCAGGAGGAACACCAAUUGCGAAGGCAGCUCGCUGGGACGUGACUGACGCUGAGACGCGAAAGCGUGGGGAGCAAACAGG
rnacentral:rRNA from 1 species